rnacentral:rRNA from 1 species
GCCAUUGCUAUUGGAGUUCGAUUUAGCCAUGCUAGUUGCACGAGUUUAGACUCGUGGCGGAAAGCUCAGUAACACGUGGUCAAACUACCCUAUAGACCAGGAUAACCUCGGGAAACUGAGGCUAAUCCUAGAUAACGCUCCCCUGCUGGAAUUGCAGGGAGCCGGAAAUGCUCCGGCGCUAUAGGAUGUGACUGCGGCCGAUUAGGUAGACGGUGGGGUAACGGCCCACCGUGCCGAUAAUCGGUACGGGUUGUGAGAGCAAGAGCCCGGAGAUGGAUUCUGAGACAAGAAUCCAGGCCCUACGGGGCGCAGCAGGCGCGAAAACUUUACACUGCACGACAGUGCGAUAAGGGAACUCCAAGUGCGAGGGCAUAACGUCCUCGCUUUUGUGUAUCGUAAGGUGGUACACGAAUAAGAGCUGGGCAAGACCGGUGCCAGCCGCCGCGGUAAUACCGGCAGCUCAAGUGAUGGCCAAUUUUAUUGGGCCUAAAGCGUCCGUAGCCGGCCAGACAGGUCCGUCGGGAAAUCUGCUCGCUCAACGAGCAGGCGUCCGACGGAAACCCGCUGGCUUGGGACCAGAAGACUCGAGGGGUACGUCUGGGGUAGGAGUGAAAUCCUGUAAUCCUAGACGGACCGCCGAUGGCGAAAGCACCUCGAGAGGAUGGAUCCGACGGUGAGGGACGAAAGCUAGGGUCACGAACCGGAUUAGAUACCCGGGUAGUCCUAGCUGUAAACGAUGCUCGCUAGGUGUGGCACAGGCUACGAGCCUGUGCUGUGCCGUAGGGAAGCCGAGAAGCGAGCCGCCUGGGAAGUACGUCCGCAAGGAUGAAACUUAAAGGAAUUGGCGGGGGAGCACUACAACCGGAGGAGCCUGCGGUUUAAUUGGACUCAACGUCGGACAUCUCACCAGCAUCGACAAUAGCUGUGACAGUCAGUGUGAUGAGCUUACUAGAGCUUUUGAGAGGAGGUGCAUGGCCGCCGUCAGCUCGUACCGUGAGGCGUCCUGUUAAGUCAGG